rnacentral:ncRNA from 1 species
UAUCCCAUAACUUUGGGAUAAUGAUUGGCUCUAAGGGCUGGAUUGGUCGGGCUGGGUUGGGAAGCGGGGCUGGGCUGGGCACAAGUCUCGGCUGGACGAGGCGCCAUGUGCCAUGGCCCCUCUUGCACGCCCCGGUCGGAGCCCACCCUCCCCUUCUCGCGGGAAGGCUGGGGUGCCGGGGGGGAAAGCCAUCGUCCACGGCGGUGAAUCUAGACAUGCGUCGGGCCCUUCCCGUGGAUCUCCCCAGUUGAGGCUCGCCUCGGUAAACCUCUUCCUGCCCGGGGAAGGCCGGCAGGUGGUGGGCGGCCUCGGCCAGUGUCUAGCAGCUGGCUUAGAACUGGUGCGGACCACGGGAAUUCGACUGUUUAAUUAAAACAAAGCAUUGUGAAGGCCCGCGGCGGAUGUCGAUGCGAUGCAAUUUCUGCCCAGUGCUCUGAAUGUCAAAGUGAAUAAAUUCAAUGAAGCACGGCUAAACGGCGGGAGUAACUAUGACUCUCUUAAUUCCCUUGGGUAAGGAGUGGAGACUUAUUGACCUCU